rnacentral:rRNA from 1 species
UUGAACGCUGGCGGCAUGCUUUACACAUGCAAGUCGAACGGUAACAGGGAGCUUGCUCCGCUGACGAGUGGCGAACGGGUGAGUAAUGCAUCGGAACGUACCCAGUCGUGGGGGAUAACGUAGCGAAAGUUACGCUAAUACCGCAUACGCCCUGAGGGGGAAAGUGGGGGACCGCAAGGCCUCACGCGAAUGGAGCGGCCGAUGUCAGAUUAGCUAGUUGGUGGGGUAAAGGCCCACCAAGGCGACGAUCUGUAGCGGGUCUGAGAGGAUGAUCCGCCACACUGGGACUGAGACACGGCCCAGACUCCUACGGGAGGCAGCAGUGGGGAAUUUUGGACAAUGGGCGCAAGCCUGAUCCAGCCAUGCCGCGUGCGGGACGAAGGCCUUCGGGUUGUAAACCGCUUUCAGCCGGAAAGAAAUCGCUGUUUUUAAUACGGACAGUGGAUGACGGUACCGGAAGAAGAAGCACCGGCUAACUACGU